CUGUUUUCCAAAACAUAGCCCUUGAAUUAAUCAAAGGUGUUACCUGCCCAAUGACUUGAAAUUAAAUUAGUCUAACAUACUAAUAAGAUAGUUUAAAGGACGCGGUAUACUGACCGUGAUAAUGUAGCAUAAUCAUUCGCCAUUUAAUUGAUGGAUAGUAUGAAUGGUGAAACGAAUACAACACUGUCUCAGGUGGAAAUCUUAUAAAAUUAAAAUAAUAGUAAAGAUGCUAUUUAAAACUGUAAGACGAGAAGACCCUAUAGAGCUUAACUAUGAAUUUUCUUUAAAUUAAAAAACUAGUUUUUUAAUUAGAAAAUAAGGUAGUUUAGUUGGGGCGACUACUUUCUAAAUACAACGAAAGUAAACAAAGUUAAUUAUUUAACUUACUGUAUAAAAAAUAAAUUUAACAGUUAUAAUAAUAGGUAAUAAUGACCCGUCAUUAAAAUAAAACAAACUUGACGAUUAAUAAAUAAAAGCUACCUUAGGGAUAACAGGGUAAUCUUGUUCUAGAGAUCUUAUCGAAUACAAGGUUUGCCACCUCGAUGUUAAAAUUAUGA
rnacentral:rRNA from 1 species